UACGUAGGGUGCAAGCGUUGUCCGGAAUUAUUGGGCGUAAAGAGCUCGUAGGCGGUCUGUCGCGUCUGCUGUGAAAACUCGGGGCUUAACCCCGGGCCUGCAGUGGGUACGGGCAGACUAGAGUGCGGUAGGGGAGACUGGAAUUCCUGGUGUAGCGGUGAAAUGCGCAGAUAUCAGGAGGAACACCGGUGGCGAAGGCGGUUCUCUGGGCAUGUUCUGACGCUGAGGAGCGAAAGUGUGGGGAGCAAACAGG
rnacentral:rRNA from 1 species